rnacentral:lncRNA from 1 species
GGUAAUGGAGCAGAGACUGGAGCAGAGACAAGUUGUUCCCACUGAGCUCUCCUCAGAUUACAGAUUGGUCCACUUACACACAGAUCUUCUUUCAUCUCUCCCACCCCUGAGACAGCAAGGCCAACUCCUCUUCUUCCACCUCCUCCUCAGCCUACUCAUCGUGAAGACAAUAAGGAGAAAGAUCUUCAUGAUGAUUCACUUCCACUUAAUGAAUAGGAGUGGCAAAUCAAAGGCAUUGCAGCCUCUUUCAUCACUGCCGAUUGCUGAUGCCAACCAUGUGCCAAGUGCUUAAUACGUCACCUUAAAUCUUCUCAUCCACCCUCAGAGCUGCAGCAUCAACCCAGUGCCCUGACUUUCAAGACGACUAUGAAAACACCCCAACUGCUGCUAAAUUACCAGCAACAAGGAUCUGACAUUCUUAUUCAAAAGAAAGAACACCGAAAUUGACCUUACCCUGACAAUAUGAUGGCUGAAGGAUUUAUGAUCACUUAUAACAUUUGAAAUUGAGGCGGAACCUGAAGAAUAAGACUCUGGUGAAAGGUCCUAUUUAUGCUUUUGAUGUCUUUCACUUGGACAUUUACCACAUGCCUAUUGGUAGGUUUGUUACAUAGGUCAGUUAAGGUGAUACAAGAAUAAAUAAAACACUAUCCCUA